CAAUAUUAGAUUCUCUUCUUUGCAGGCUAUGAACCGUGGGCUAAACCUUCUCCAUUUGGGUUGACUGGGCUGUUGAUCCUUUUCUGGCCUGCUCCCCCAUUGCUUGAACUGGUCACGUGCGGCUUCACUUCAUCAGGUAACAUCCGUGGCCCUUCAAUUGCCAUAAUCCCUAAUUCCCCAAUCUCAUUUUCCUCUCGCCCUUCAAUCCCUAAUUCCCCUUUUUCAUUUCUCCUUCGCAUCUCACUCCUUACUUCACCGUUUUCCUCUUCGUUUCCCUGUUCUUCUUGUCCAACUGUGACAAUACCCGCCGCUGGAGAAGAUCCUUGUCCCCAAGGAUCAAAACUCGGAAAUUGGCCUCGGAGCACAGAAUAAUCCUCCCAUGUGUCGUUCGUAGCAUCCAGGAGGAUCUGUUGAAGACGAUACGGUUGCCCCAAUAUGUUUCUUCAAUAAACUAACAUGAAAAACCGGAUGGAGACGGGAAGUCUCAGGGCAAGAGAGGUCUGUCUGUAGGGCUGUAAUUUCAGGCUAUGAACCGUGGGCUAAACCUUCUCCAUUUGGGUUGACUGGGCUGUUGAUCCUUUUCUGGCCUGCUCCCCCAUUGCUUGAACUGGUCACGUGCGGCUUCACUUCAUCAGGUAACAUCCGUGGCCCUUCAAUUGCCAUAAUCCCUAAUUCCCCAAUCUCAUUUUCCUCUCGCCCUUCAAUCCCUAAUUCCCCUUUUUCAUUUCUCCUUCGCAUCUCACUCCUUACUUCACCGUUUUCCUCUUCGUUUCCC